rnacentral:tRNA from 1 species
GGGCGACUAGCUCAGUGGUCAGAGCAUCUGCAGCAAAAGCAGAGGUCUUCAGUUCGAUUCUGAAGUUGCUCA